rnacentral:tRNA from 1 species
GGUUCUAUAGUUUAUUCAUAAAACAUUAAACUGCAAGUUUAAAGAAAGGCUUAUCCUUAGGGCCU